UACAGAGGUCUCAAGCGUUGUUCGGAUUCAUUGGGCGUAAAGGGUGCGUAGGUGGCGCCAUAAGUCAGGUGUGAAAUCUCGGGGCUUAACUCCGAAACUGCAUUUGAUACUGUGGUGCUUGAGGACUGGAGAGGAGACUGGAAUUUACGGUGUAGCAGUGAAAUGCGUAGAGAUCGUAAGGAAGACCAGUGGCGAAGGCGGGUCUCUGGACAGUUCCUGACACUGAGGCACGAAGGCCCAGGGGGAGC
rnacentral:rRNA from 1 species